rnacentral:lncRNA from 10 species
UGCAGCACACCAGCAUGGCACAUGUAUACAUAUGUAACUAACCUGCACAUUGUGCACAUGUACCCUAAAACUUAAAGUAUAAUAAUAAUAAAGAAAGAAAGAAAGAAUAUACUACUAGGGUGAUAUAAUUUGGCUGUGUCCCCACCCAAAUCUCAACUUGAACUCCCACAUGCUGUGGGAGGGACCCGGUGGGAGGUAAUUGAAUCAUUGGGGCAAGUCUUUCCCAUGAAAAAUCUCACAAGAUCUGAUGUUUUUGAAAAGAGGAGUUCCCCUGCACGAGUUAUCUUUCUUUGCCUGCUGCCAUCCAUGUAAGAUGUGACUUGUUCCUCUUUGCCUUCUGCCAUGAUUGCGAGGCUUCCCCAGCCACAUGGAACUGUAAGUCCAAUUAAGCCUCUCUUUCACAAAUUGCCCGGUCUUGGAUAUAUCUUUGUUAGCUGUGUGAAAAUGGACUAAUACAUAGGGUAAGAGUAUUGGAUCAAGAAAUACAUUUAGUUAAUAUUUUGAGACAAGUUGCCAAAAUACCUACUGGGAAGAUUGUAUUAAUUUACCUUUCUACUAACAAAUAUUGGUCACCAUUAUUUGAAUAUUAGCAACAAUAAGUAUCUUCUCCUGUGUGUUGGUUAAUUGAUUUAAUUUUAGAAGUGCCCUAUUCUCAUCCUUCACCCAUGUUUAUCAUAUUUUUGAUUUCAUAAUUUAUUUGUGAAAACCCUUUAUAAUUUAAAUUUUUUUCUUUGAUAUAUGUAUCUAUGCUGCAAUUGUUUUUCUACUUUCGAUUUGUAUUUUAGUUUUAUUCAUUGUAUUUAUUGUGCCAAUCCAAGACAUUUGAUUUUAGAUAGUCAAAUAUAUCAGUGUUCCACGAUAUUGUUUCUGGUUUCACUUUUAAGUUUUUACUGUCCAUUGAUACAAACUUGUUUACCAAUGCUUUCUUCUGAUAUUUUAAUAGUAUUAAUCUCAUUUUUAUGAAUGUGAAAUAAUUUUUAACUGAGCAGUGAAAUGGUAACCUAGCUUCUAUUUUUAAAAUAACUAGCCCAUUGCCUUAAUUGCAGUUAUUUAAUAAUUAAUCAUAUCUAUACAAAUUUUAUAUAUACAUUUAUUGUAUAUAAGAUAUCUGUGAAUACUUAUGAUUUCUGAGCUCUCUAUUCUGUUCACUUACUAUGCAUCAUGAGUGGUCCAAGUAAUUCUCACUAUUAGCAAAAGAAGUGGUCCCCUGUGUAUGAGGAACAAUUAAAGCAUGUUAUACAGUGUAUAUUUAAUUACACAAUUAAAGUCUAUUCUAUUGCUAGAGGGUGAUAGUAGUUCAAAGCAAGCAAAGACACUCAUACCAUCUUCUCAUUUUAGUCCUGGUAGUGGAAUUCCUUAAUAUUAGGGGUCUUUGCUUAGGAGUUUAGUAGUGGAGACCUGGUUGAACUAGAUCUCCAACAUGGGGCUUCAUGGGGAAAGUCAGAGAGUUAAAUGAUGUAUUUUAUGCAUCUCACUUACAUUCUUGAAACAAGUUUAUUACUUGAAUUUCCCACUCCAAUUUGAAAAAGCAGGGCUCUGUUUUUCCAAGUUGCAUAUUCCCCAAGACUGCUAUAAUAUAACUGGGAAUGGUCCUUAUUUCUCCACAUUUUAAAAGCAUUUCUUAUUACAUCAAAAUAUCACAAAGCUUAAGAUUUGUGUGUUUUGGGUAUAUCAAUUUUAGUAAUUUCUUCUACUGGUACAUACACAUAAUUGACAUUUGUUUUCUUCAUAUUAGAACAAAAUAAUCUCAAAGAGAACUUUUUUAGACCUUUCUCAUAUACUCUUUUGCAUAUUUCUACUUAGACCUACACAAUUUAAUUAUAGAAGUGUUACUGAUGUUUUUGAGGACUCAUAUUGUAACUCAUUUAUUUUCCCAGAAUUCAAAAAUAUAUUCUUCCAAGAAAAACAAAGCCCUGUCUAUACUCGAUGCAGGUUGGUUUGAUUUCAUUGUUCAAUUUUGGGGAAAGUUACAUCUUUAUAAGAUUAUGUUUUUCUCUUCAGAAAAAAGCCACAUCUCUCCAUUAAAAAUCAAUGUUUAUAUCCCUUAGCAAAGUUGUACAGCUUUCACUCUGUAUAAGCCUAUGCAAGUCUUGUUAAAUUCAUAAAUAUGAGUCUUAUUUUUGAGUUAUUCUUCUUAAUGGACAUUUUCUUGUAUACAUCUAUUGAUUAUAUGAUGCUUUUAAAGUAAAUAUAUUAUCCAAAAAUAAUGGUUAUUUCUCCUUUUCUAUUCCAUAUUGGUAUCUUCUAUUUUUUCCUUUGAUUACUUUGUUUAGCAACUCAGGUGGGCUAUUGGUGGCAAUAGCAGCAAACUCAUCACCUUUUGGUAUUUUAUAUGUAAACAUAAGUUGGCUUCUAUUUACAGAUUUAUCUACCUACCCAUGAACUGUUUUAAAAAAAUGUUUUCAGGAAUAGUGUUGUAUUUUGGUAAGCGCCUUUUCACAUUCUGUUGACCUAAUCAUAUUUUUUUCUCAUUUUACAUGAAAAAUAAUAACUGUACUACCUAGUCCUACUAAUAAUCACUACUCCUAUUAAAAUAAUAAUAGCUAAUCACUACUGGGCACUUAUUAUGGGCCAAGAAUCAGCCAAAUAAAUUUUGUGUAUUGUUUCUUUGAUCUUUAAUGUAGCCUUCUGAAAUAGGUACAUUACCUAUUAUGUUCUGAAGAUUACCAUUAUGUUCUUAUCGAGGAAGAACCUGAGCAUCAUAGAAUUUAGCUAAUGUGUCAAAUUAAUUAAACAUUACAUGAUAAAAUGGUGAGUCAACCUUUCUGGUCAUAACCUCAAUACUAUAUUGCUUGUUUUAGCUGUAUGAGAGGACAUAUACAUAGAUGCCAUUAUAAUUAAUUGUUUUUGAAUGAUUAAAAUAAUGUCUGUAUACUCGUUGAAAUAACAUGAACAUCAUUAGGUAAUUUUUUUACAUUAUUGAUUAUAAGUGAGAUUUUAGUUUACUUGUAGUUUACUGUAGUUUACUUGUAGUUUACUUGUAGUGAGAUUAUAAGUAGAUUGUUGUUUACUUGUACAGGAAGAGGUCUCUGUAGUGAUUUCGAGUGACAUAUUUGUGAAGUGAAAAUUUGCAAAUUGCUGAAGAGGGUAUCAAUAUGCUACACACACAAGCAAAAAGAAGAUAAAUACGUGCACACACACAAACACAUACAAUUUCUGCUUUUGUUUGAAAAUGGAAACACUGGCUGUAGAAACAAGAAAUUACUACCUAUAAGGGGCUAGGUGGAAUGGAGAACAAAAUAUAAGGAUGAAAUAGAGCAUAACUUUGUAUGUAAUUUUGACUACCAUAUUACAAUGGGUUUAGUUUUGUGCAACCACCACCCUCAAAAUAAGAUAUGUUAAAGUCCUAACUGGCAGUACCUCAUGAUAUGACCUUUUUUGAAAAUGUGGUCUUUGCAACUAAAAUUAGUUAUGUUGACAAUAGGUCAUACCCAAAUAGAGUGGGCCCUUAAUGCAAUAUGACUUGUGUCCUUAUAAGAAAAUGAUGUGGAGCUGCAUGGAGAGAAUAGCAGGUGAGAGAAGAGAUUGGGGUAAUGUAGCUGCAAGCCAAGGAGGACCAAGGAUUGACAGCCAUCACCAGAAGUUAGGAAGAGGCAAGGAAAAAUUCCCCUCUACAGGUUUCAGAGAGAGCAAGGCCCCCCUCACAACCUGAUUUUGAACUUCCAGCCUCCAGAACUGAAAGACAAUACAUUUCUGUUGUUUUAAGCCUCCAGGUUCAUGGGACAUUGUUAAAAUACCCUAGGAAACAAAUACAUAUUCCUUGCCAAAGCGUUACAUAUUUGAAAAAAUAAAUUCAUAUUUGCAAUUAAAAAUAAAAUAAUGUUUCAAUAACAAAUGAAAAGAAAAUCUUUUAUUUCUCUUUACUUUUGAAUUAUAUUGAAAGUAUCUUGAAGGUUAUAAAGCAUUCUCCCACAAAACCAUUCACCUCUGGCCAAUUUUCUGAUUUUGUUUUUAGAAAUCUUUUCCUGUGCUCUAUUUUAAGUGUAGCAGUAUAUCUUGUUCUAAGAAAAUAUCCAUUUAAAAUUUAUUAUCAAAUAACUGAGAAAAAUACCCUUCCAUUUUUGCUUUAUUUUCUUCAUUCCUAAGUAGUGGAUAGGUAUUUAAUUAUUUUUUAUUUAUUUUAGGUUUUGUGAUCCACCAUGAUUAAUUUACAUGCCUGUUAUUCAGGAGGUAGUCUAACUCAGCUUCUCACAGGACCAAUGACUUCCUUCCUCCUAACAUAAUAUCUGUGACUUUGCACAGACCACAAAGCCUCCAGGUGCUGGGCAAAUGGUUUUCCUUCUCCUCUGCUCUAAAUAGACUUCGCUCUAUUCAAGAAUCUUGUUACUAAAAUAAUUUGAUAUUUUUCUCUUGCUAAGACUUCUUAUAUUUGUCUUAUAAGGAGAGAGCUCUCAGUUGGUGAGAUCUUUCCAACAAAACUUAGAAUCAUACACUGCACAUCUUUCAGAAUACCCCAGCAGCUUUUUUAAAAUUUUUAUUUUAUUUUAUUUUAUUUUAUAUUUUAUUUUAUUUUAUUUUAUUUUGAGACAGAGUCUCGCUCUGUCACCCAGGCUGGAGUGCAAUGGCAUGAUUGCACUCAACUCAUGCAACCUCCACCUCUCAGGUUCACUGCAACCUCCACCUCUCAGGUUCAAGCGAUUCUCCUGCCUCAGCCUCCCAAAUAGCUGGGAUUACAGGCCCCUGCCACCACACGCGGCGAAUUUUUGUAUUUUUAGUAGAGACGGAGUUUCACCAUAUUGGCCAGGCUGGUCUCAAACUCCUGACCUUGUGAUCCACCCGCCUCUGCCUCCCAAAGUGCUGGGAUUACAGGCAUGAGCCACUGUGCCCGGCCUACCCUGGCAACUUUUUAUAAAAUAAUGACAAAACACAGAUGCAUAUCUUUUGUUUCCUAAAGCUGAAAAAGCUGACUAAAGCUGACUUUGUAAGUUCUCUUUUCACAGUAAAUGCAGUUUUUGGCCUGUACCACAUGUAACAUUAUGGAAUUUCUCUCAAGCCCUCAUAUGUUACAGAUGGUGAUCAUGAAGUGUCUGAUGGAACCUAAUGUUAUUUGGUCAGUAAAGAAUUUCAGAUUGGUAUGUAAAACUGUUUCCUACACAAUUAUAUUGAGCUUUUUGUCAGUAUUUCUUUGUUUUUCAUGCAUUUGGUUGUCCACAAUUUUAUGAAUUACAUGUAGUAUGAUUUAAUAUUAAACAUGAAGUAACAUCUUCGGUUUAGAAUGUGUAAACUGGUUCCCUUCAUGCCACCAAAAAAGGCUGUAUCCUUUUUGAUUUAAAACUUGCCUGAUAAUAGUAUUAUAACCUGUAUUGGUUUUGUUUGGUAUUCCAAGCUGCAUUUUAUUUGUUUGAAUUUAACAAAUAUUUCCUUGACCAUUCUGUUGCUUUCAAAGUUGUUGAGUCAUACUGUAUUUAGAUGACUGUUUUACUGAGAACAUAAAACUGGGUUUUUGUUUCCUAACCAAGAAAAAUUGUUCAUUUUGGUCCAAUUUAUUAUCCUUCUUAUUUAUUUCAUAACAUAUAGAGUUGGC